GCUACUUUAGCUUAGUGGUAGAGCGUCUGCUUCGUAAGCAGAAGGUCGUCGGGUCAACCCUGGCAGUGGCU
rnacentral:tRNA from 1 species